rnacentral:rRNA from 1 species
UACGGAGGGUGCAAGCGUUAUCCGGAUUUACUGGGUUUAAAGGGUGUGUAGGCGGGCUUUUAAGUCAGUGGUGAAAUCUCCGGGCUCAACCUGGAACUGCCAUUGAUACUAUUAGUCUUGAAUUUGUUGAGGUAGGCGGAAUAAGUCAUGUAGCGGUGAAUGCAUAGAUAUGACUUAGAACACCAAUUGCGAAGGCAGCUUGCUAACAAAUAUUGACGCUGAGGCACGAAAGCGUGGGAUCAACAG